rnacentral:rRNA from 1 species
GACGGUCCUAUGGAUUGUAAACUGCUUUUGUACGGGAAGAAACAACUCUUCGUGAAGAGUCUUGACGGUACCGUAAGAAUAAGGAUCGGCUAACUCCGUGCCAGCAGCCGCGGUAAUACGGAGGAUCCAAGCGUUAUCCGGAAUCAUUGGGUUUAAAGGGUCCGUAGGCGGUUUUGUAAGUCAGUGGUGAAAUCCGGCAGCUUAACUGUCGAACUGCCAUUGAUACUGCAGGACUUGAAUUACUGUGAAGUAACUAGAAUAUGUAGUGUAGCGGUGAAAUGCUUAGAUAUUACAUGGAAUACCAAUUGCGAAGGCAGGUUACUAACAUUAUAUUGACGCUGAUGGACGAAAGCGUGGGGAGCGAACAGGAUUAGAUACCCUGGUAGUCCACGCCGUAAACGAUGGAUACUAGCUGUUCGGUAGCAAUACUGAGUGGCUAAGCGAAAGUGAUAAGUUCCCACC